UGGGAACCGCGCGUCCAAAGCGGAGCGCAGCGGAUGGAGGGCACGGGAGCAAAGGGCGAUGGGCGGAGGAGAGCGGGGGGGGACGGGGGGGGACGGAGGGGGGCGGGGAUCGCGCAGCGCUCGGCCCUUCGGCGGCCCUUCGGCGGCCCUUCGGACAUCGGAGGAACGGCUUCGGGAUCGCGCAACGCAAACGGGAGCUGCGGAGGGGGUCGGGAACGCCCACAGCUCCGUGGGCUGCAGCCGCUGCUCAGCGGGGUACAGCGCGCCGUUAAUGGGGUACCACGUGCAGUUAAUGGGGUACCACGUGCAGCGAAUGGGGUACAACGCACAGUGAAUGGGGUACAAUGCGCAGUGAAUGGGGUGCAGCGCGCAGUGAAUGGGGUACAACGUGCAGUGAAUGGGGUGCAGCCCUCAGUUAAUGGGGUGCAGCCCGCAGUGAAUGGGGUACAAUGUGCAGCGAAUGGGGUACAACGUGCAGUGAAUGGGGUACAAUGCGCAGUUAAUGGGGUGCAGCCCGCAGUUAGUGGGGUACAAUGCGCAGUGAAUGGGGUACAACGUGCAGUGAAUGGGGUACAACGCGCAGUGAAUGGGGUGCAGCCCGCAGUGAAUGGGGUCCAACGCGCAGUUGAUGGGGUGCAGCCCGCAGUGAAUGGGGUACAAUGCGCAGUUGAUGGGGUACCACGUGCAGUGAAUGGGGUACAACGCGCCGUUAAUGGGGUACCACGUGCAGUUAAUGGGGUACAACGCGCAGUUAAUGGGGUACAAUGCGCAGUUGAUGGGGUGCAGCCCGCAGUGAAUGGGGUGCAACGCGCAGUUGAUGGGGUGCAGUGCGCAUUGAAUGGGGUUCGACGCGCAGUUGAUGGGGUGCAGUGCGCAUUGAAUGGGGUCCGACGCGCAGUUGAUGGGGUGCAGUGCGCAUUGAAUGGGGUCCGACGCGCAGUUGAUGGGGUGCACCCCGCAGAUCGUCCUGGAAUCCUAAAAUCGCCAGGGUUGGAAAAGCCCUCCGAGGUCAUCCGGCGCAGCCGCCCACCCAUCACCACCGGGCGCACCCCGCAGCUCAGUGGGGUGCAGCCCCCCACCCCCCCCCCACGGCUCGUUGGGGUGCGCCUCACAGCCAACUGGGGUACACCCGCAGCUCAAUGGGGUACACCCGCAGCUCAAUGGGGUACGCCCCGCAGCUCAUGGGGUACGCCCCGCAGCUCAAUGGGGUACGACCUGUGGCUCUUUGGGUACGCCCCGCAGCUCAAUGGGGUACACCGCAGCUCAUGGGGUACACCCUGCAGUUCAAUGGGGUACGCCCCGCAGCUCAUUGGGGUACCCCACAGCCAACCGAGGUACACUCCUACAGCUCACCGGGGUACACCCUGAGGCUCAUUGGGGUACACCCCGCAGCUCAUUGGGGUACGCCCCACAGCUAAUAAAAGUACACCCCGCAGCUCAUUGGGGUACACCUUACAGCUAACGGGUACAGCCUGCAGCUCAUUGGGGUACAACGGGGAGCUAACUGGGGUGCAACCCACGGCUAAAUGGGGUACACCCUGACAACUAACCAGGGUACAGCCUGCAGCUCAUUGGGGUACACCCCACUAAUAGAGGUACACCCCGCAGCUCAUUGGGGUACACCUUACAGCCCAUUAGGGUGCACUCACAGCCCAUUGGGGUACACCCACAGCCCAUUGGGGUACACCUUACAGCCCAUUCGGGUACACUGCACAGCCCAUUGGGGUGCACUCACAGCCAAUAGGGGUGCACCCCAUAGCUAAUAGAGGUACACCUGCAGCCCAUUGGGGUACACCCACAGCCCAUUGGGGUGCACUCACAGCUCACUGGGGUACACCCACAGCUAAUAGGGGUGCACUCACAGCCCAUUGGGGUAUACUCACAGCCAAUAGGGGUACACCCACAGCCCAUUGGGGUGCACUCACAGCCAAUAGGGGUCCACCCACAGCCCAUUGGGGUGCACUCACAGCUAAUAGGGGAACACCCACAGCCCAUUGGGGUGCACUCACAGCCCAUUGGGGUACACCCGCAGCCCAUUGGGGUACACCCGCAGCCCAUUGGGGUACACCCGCAGCCCAUGGGGG
ensembl:lncRNA